GUCACAAGCGUUGCGUGGGUUGCUAAGCUAUCCGUCACACGCGUUGCGUGGGUUGCUAAGCUAUCCGUCACAAGCGUUUCGUGGGUUGCUAAGCUAUCCGUCUGGGAACGGUCGCUCAAAGUCAAACACAUGUCGAAAAAAACAGCCUGCAAAGGACCACCGUAUCACAUUUCGUGCUAUUAGUGACAGAGUUGAUUGAAGUGCUGGGACUGUUUACUAUAUCAUUUAAAAUGAACUUAAUAUGAGAAGGUUGUGUUGAAGAUGGAUCCCAGAAAUGCUUUCGGAUAUUCAAAAGAAACAGAGUCUUGUGAGCGUUUUCUGUGGUGAUUUAAGAGAAAAUGAAAGGCGAUUUUCAGGCGCAUAAUUACCGUUGACGAGACUUAGAUUAGUAUAUACGAGCCACAAAAGAACCCCAACUUUAUGGAAAACACCAUAUAUCCAUCGAAAAGUUCAAAAUAAGUCCGCCUUCAAAGAAGCAGAUGUUCAUCGCGUUCUUUGACACCAACGCAGUGAUCUUGAGCCAGGCAGUACUAAAACGGCAAAUAGUGAGAGCGCAGUAGUACUCAAGGGUCCUAUAUCUUGAUUUCAUUAGGGCGAUGCGGAAGAAGCGAGCCUCGGAACUGACGACAGCUUUUGUAUCACAACAAAGCAACUCAGGAAAUGAUCGCCAAUCAUUUAAAGUUGAGAGCACCCUCCGUACAACCCUGAUUAAGCAUCAUGCUAUUUCUUCCUCUUUCCUACGCUAGAGUGAUUCCUGAGAAAACAGCCAUUUGAUGAAAUUGACUAAAGUGCAUAGUUCAGUUCAGCCGGCGAUCUUCCUUUCCAACUGACUCAUAACUCGAAUACUAUACAUCGGUGCAUAGUCCAAUGGAUGGUAUUAUGAAAAAAGACCGAUUAGUAACACACUGUUUAAAAAUGCUGUUUUGGACAUGACGUCAAUGACUUUUGGCCGCAUACCUAACACUGCUGUUUAAAACAAAUAUGAAAAUUGUCAAUUUGGCAAUUUUUGUUAUGGAUUUUUAUGUAAUGAAUACUUCAAAAUAAUAUCAGUAAACGCAAUCUUCAUGAAAAUGCGAUUAGAAGUAAAGAAAGAGCUCUUUUCAUGAACAUGAGAUUUGAAGUACAAAAAGAGCUCUUUUCCGCGAACCUUUUUAACACCCCUCGUAAUUGAACGUUCGUAUUGAAGACUGACUAGUGGAGAAGAAUGAUAUUGAAAGAUUGAAAGAUGAAUGCAAUUAACUACGUACGUGUCUACAUUGUGCAAUUAAAAUUAGAAAUUAUUUGACUAACACCUAGGUAAAAAUACGGCAUUGUUUCACGUCCAAAAUAAUCACUGUGUGGGAAUGGACACCGGAUAUAGCUAAAAAAUGAUCAAUCGAUAAGCGUUUUCUUUUGACAAAUGGUCAGUUUUCUAUCAUUUUUUUGUAUUUUACGUUGAUAUAUUUAACAAAAUCGAAGAGUUUUGAAUUACUUGAUACUGUGCAAUAUACGACUAUGAUGAAAAUAUGUCUCCUCUUUUGUAUAAUAGCCCAAUUCACUCCGAAAGUUGCAUGAUCGCUCACAAAUGUUAAUUUAUGUGGUACGAUUUCAAACAUAAAUCAACACAUUGAAAAUAAGAAUAAAAAACUGAAUCGAGCGAUUUCAUUGUAAUUACAUAAUCUAGUAAUGUGUAAAAUAUCAAUAUGAUAUAUUUUGUUGUUACGGAGAUAUUCAUACCUGAUGGCUUGGCAGUGUACUGGGGAUAGAUGAAGCAAAUAAAUAACUGCACAGGGGAUAGCUAUUAAGUGGACUGAGGAUAGUAACGUUGUAUUUAGAAUAACGAGACUAUGAUAAUGAUUACGGCUAUUUAUCUAUACGCGAGCUCGAGGGAAAUUGUUCGAUGUUGUCCAUAUCGAGGGAUGAGAGCAAAAACAUGUUGUUGUUGUUUUUUUGGUAUCUGUAUGCACUGUUUCAUUCAUACAUAUUAGUUAACCAUGAUGUGUUUUUCACAAGCAUCAAUACCUAAAUAUUUUAAAUACGCCGGUAAUCUGAUUUAUUGAGUAACACAAAACAUGUGGCCGUAUAAUUUUUGUGGUGUUUGCAUUUCAUAUAUAUAGUGUUGCUUUGUAAAUCAAGUAGGUACGUUUUUGCACACAUCAAGUCACCAGUAGGGAAUGAGAUAUUGUGAUCAAAUUUGGAACACGUAAAGCUUUUUUCUUAGCUUGGGUCGAUUUUGGUAUUACUUAGAACAGAAUAAUGGUCUCUGUUCGUUCAUUUCAGUGAGAAAGAAUGUAUUGUGACCAACCCUGAUAUUAUGCAGCGUGCAUAUACGUUCAUUUAGGAGAGCAUGGAUCAAACUCAUUGUUAACUAAAGUUUGCUCAAUAAUUUCUUAUCAAAUUGUACUCUCACUUUUUGCAGAUUAUUUGAAAGGUCGAAAUGGACAUAUACAUGUAUAUUAUAUAUUAACAGUAUCACUAUCAAUUUUUGUCCCAUUUUAUAUGUUAUCACCAGGACACAAAUUUCUCAACUUUGAAACUAUCCCCAGUACAUAAUACGGCUAUCCCCAAUACAGUACUGAGAACAUUUCUAAGGGCAUUUCUUUAACAGUUUAAAAGUUACAUUGCCAUAUCUCACAAUAAAAAUAAUUGAGCUUAUGCUAGUGAAAUCCUUCGAUUCAUAUUUUUUAUUUAUUCGAUAUAUUUCCUAAAAAUAACAAUACUUGUCGAAAUUUUGUAAGUUUUGAGGGGAUCAGCUCAGAUUUGAAGAAACAUUUUACGAAGUCUGCUAAAUCGUAAGCACUUUAAAGUAUACCAUAGGCCAAAUUAAGCAUUCAGCUAUUAAUUCGAACACUUCAUUUGUGGAUACGGUAGAUAUGCGUUUACACAGCAAGAUCUUACCUCUGGUUAAGAAAAACAACUGCAUAAUUGUCUGUUUACUUAUCAUUUUUUGAGCUAUAUCCGGUGUCCGUUCCCACACAGUGAUAAUUAUGUAUAAAACAUAUAUAAGGAUAAAUGGUUUCAAAUAUUUAUUAAUACCCUCCACAUUGUUUUUGUGUGUAUUAUUGAAUGUUUGUUUUAUAUUACUGAAUGUAUUAUAUGUAUAUGUAUGUGUAUGCUUGUGUGUAUGUACACCUAUGUGAUUGUUUGUAAUACGAGAGACUAUGUAGUCUAAAUCCAA